GUGCUUGUGGUGUAGUGGCUAUCACAUCCGCCUAACACGCGGAAGGUCCCAGGUUCAAACCCUGGCAGGCACA
rnacentral:tRNA from 1 species